rnacentral:lncRNA from 1 species
GCCAUUUCUUGGCUGAGCCCGUUUCUUGGCUGCAGAAGGGCAGCUUCCACUGUUAUGUCAGGGGCCAUGGUCUCACCCUUGACAAUAUAAGGUCAAGGUGGAAUGUGGCUCCUGCUGUCACUUAGGGGGAAUUGCCGCAUACUAGUAUGUGAACUGUAUGUGUUCUUGAACAAAUCUAUUCAUGGAACUGGAGCUUAUGUCCUUCUGUGAAUGAGACUUAAAGACUUGGGUCAAGCAUGCCCUUGGUACCUGCCUCUUUGGAAGGCACCUCCGGUCACAUCAGGAGCAUGGAUGGGGCCCCACCUGCAUACACAUGGAGAUGGACUCAUCCUCCAGCUACUUUGGAUACCGUGGCUCCCAUUUUUCUACUUUCUCUGAAGGAUUGAAGCCACCUUGCCCAGAAGUCACUGGGAGUUAUGCCUCCUCCCUAAGGAUGGCCCACAGCCAGUGCCUCAUUGGAGCAAGAGGUACAGAAGCCCUGCUCCCUCAUCUGAAGAUGGGGCAGGCUCCGCAGUGCAAUCCAUGCACCCGAGCUCCCAUGGCAUCAGACUGACAUUGCUGGAAGCCACAGUCUUCCUCAGCUUCUCCUUCCCUGUCCUGCUUCCCUCACUCCCUUAUGGUUUUCUCCUGAGGGCACUCCCUUAAUAAAUCACUUGCGUCAAGAAUCCACAUCAUGGGCUCUGCUUCUAGGGAAACUGGCAGUUCACAAUCUUAGAAUAUAUUAUAUAUUUAGUUCCUCUUUGGGGGUAAUAACUUUACCUGCCUGAGGGCAGAAGUAUUUAUAUUUCCUCUAAUAUUUAGCACAGGGCUUUGCACAUGAUAGGGGUUUGUUAACUUCUAGGAAUAAAGUAAUUUGAAUAAACUUGAGCUGAUCUUUAAAAAUAGGCAAAAACCAAACAUCAUACCUUAUCAGCCUGGUUAAAUAGGAGGAUUGGCCGGGUGCAGUGGCUCACGCCUAUAAUCUCAGCACUUUGGGAGGCC